rnacentral:lncRNA from 1 species
AGAAAUGCAGAAGCAGAUGGUACUGCUGAACCAAAUGUGUGAAAGGCUAGUAACUCAUAGAUGCAUAUAAUUUUUAGAGUUGGAAGAGACCAAGGAGUUAAAUUCAUCUAACUCCCAUUCUAUAAGUAUUUCAGAUGACUGCAGUUGUGUCCUCAUCAUCAAUCUCUAAAUGAAGUUACUUGAAGCAAUUCUUGAAACCAUAAUAAUAAUGUCUCCAGAAUUGGUGGAUUCUUGGUCUCACUGACUUCAAGAAUGAAGCCACGGACCCUCGCGAAGGACUUUGGACAACAAUUUCUUUGACUGAAACUGGGGUCAGAGUUGCAGACUCCCUGGAACAUGAAAAGUCAAUAAUCUAGUUCCCAAAAGGCAGACAAGAAACUAUUCCCAAGAUGAACAAAUGAUGAGAAUAGAGGUAAAGGUGAAAAUGAUGCUUUGAUGCCUGAAGGUACAACAAACAUCUCAUGACUAUGAGGGGAUGAAAAUGGAUACCAAGGAUACCAAGAUGAUGGAACAAAAAGAAUUGAUUUGGAACAUGACGGCACUAUGGAUUCAUCGUAUUGGACCUCUGUGAUAUAAUUCUGAACUUUUCAUAUAAGACUAAUAUACCCCUACUUGUUUAAUACAACUGUAGAGUUAUCUGCUACUUGCAGCCAAAUGUAAUCCUAACUAAUAUAGGCAAUAAAUCAUGUUUUUAUAUCACUAUGUAGGUCUUCCAAUCUAUUGUCUUUGCCAGAGCUGUCUCCAUUCUUCUAAAAGGUCCCAACUUCCAAAAUUCAAAACCAAGAAAACAACCUCUUUUCUCUGACAUUUUUAUUGGGUCAGACAUUUUGCUGUGUCAGAAAAUGAUUCCAUAUAAUUUGUCCAAAUGGGGAAGGGCUAUGCGAGAUACAAGGAAUUAUAGGGAGAAAAUUAUUGACACAUAUUUAAAAAUAUAUCUCAGCAUAGUUACAAAUACACAGAAACCCAUCCAAAUUAGACUAAGACAGUAAAUUUAUUGGGUGGAUGUAAGUAUAUCUUAUGGACCUAAGGAUAGGAAGUCCGGUUGAACCUCAUUAUGAACUGGAACCAGGAACUGAAAAGUUAUGAACCAGUGCAGCUCUUCUCCCUUUCCUCUAUGGUAACAUGAUCUCUUAUGAUCUACUUUCUUCUUCUCUCUUGCAUUGGCUUUAUCUGCUUCUGCAUGCACAUAGUAGAAAAUAGUAAUUUCAACUGUAUUAGCUCAAAGACAAACUAAGAUUGACUAACACCUGUUACUUUUAUUUUCCAGGCUCUCUGGAGAAUUAAUCUGAUUGGUCAAUUUUUUGGUUGUACAUCAGUCUUUAGUCCAAUUAGUGACCUUGGGAAUGGGGUCAAAUGACUUAGCAAUUCUUAGGACCAAAGGAGAAUACCCUUUUGAAAAGAGGCCAUGGAUAUGUAUAUGUGUGUCAGUGUUUUUUGGAGAAGAAACAUCUCUACUACUCUCCUAAAAUUUUAAUUUGGGGAAAGGUAAACCAAAGUAAUGAUUCAGCCAUUCUACAAACAUUAUUCUCACUUGCUCCUCCUCUUAUGUUUUCUCUCAGGGAAUUCAUCUAGUUGCUCAUGUCAUAAACCUCUACACAACCAAUGAUUACCACAAUAGCUAACAAUUACUAACUCUGUGACAGCUGUUCUACAUGCAUUAUCUUAAGUUCAACCUCACAACAACCAUAGAAGUAGGAAUUAACUAUUUUAUUGAUAACAAAGUGAAAUUUAGAGAUGUUAAGUCAAGCCUUCAAGAGAGAGACCUCAUGUCUCCUUGUCUCUGAUCUUGCCCCGCUGAUCCAUUUCUUUUUUAACCCAGUAAUCAUAGUGGUAUUUCUAAAACACAAAUCUGAUGUUACUUUCCUGCUUAAAAUCCUUCUAUAGUUCCCUUAGGAUAAAGUCCAAAUUUCUUUACAAGAUAUAUACAGCCUUUCUUGAUUUAGGCAACCUCCAUCUAACCAACCUUCACUCCAUCCUCAUCUCUUUUAGUCACUUUGUCCUAAGUUGCACAGAUCAUUUACAGUUCUUAACAAUCCAGAAAAGAAAUGUAUUUUCUACUCCUCUUGUGUUCUCUCUUCUUUUCUCUCUUCUUUCUUUUUUUA